rnacentral:rRNA from 1 species
GCCCAGCCGUAAACUUUUAAUUACAUCCAAACCACCUGGGAACUACGAGCCAAGCUUAAAACCCAAAGGACUUGACGGUACCCCACAUCCUCCUAGAGGAGCCUGUCCUACAAUCGAUAAUCCACGUUUAACCUCACCAUUUUUAGUUAAUCAGCCUGUAUACCUCCGUCGUCAGCUUACCACGUGAGCGUUAAUUAGUGAGCUCAAUGUAUUUCACCAAAACGUCAGGUCAAGGUGCAGUAAAUAAAAUGGAAAGAGAUGGGCUACACUUUCUAUUUUAGAAAAAACGAAAAACUACUUAUGAAAUUUAGUUGGAAGGCGGAUUUAGUAGUAAAAAGGAAUCAGCAUGUCCAUUUUAACCCGGCACUGGGGUGUGU